rnacentral:rRNA from 1 species
CGGGUGAGUAAUGCUUGGGAAUCUAGCUUAUGGAGGGGGAUAACUACGGGAAACUGUAGCUAAUACCGCGUAAUAUCGAAAGAUUAAAGUGUGGGACCUUCGGGCCACAUGCCAUAAGAUGAGCCCAAGUGGGAUUAGGUAGUUGGUGAGGUAAAGGCUCAUCAAGCCGACGAUCUCUAGCUGGUCUGAGAGGAUGACCAGCCACACUGGGACUGAGACACGGCCCAG